rnacentral:rRNA from 1 species
UACGUAGGGGGCAAGCGUUGUCCGGAUUUAUUGGGCGUAAAGAGCGUGUAGGCGGCUUUGCAAGUCCGUUGUGAAAACUCGAGGCUCAACCUCGAGACGCCGGUGGAAACUGCAAAGCUAGAGUCCGGAAGAGGAGAGUGGAAUUCCUGGUGUAGCGGUGAAAUGCGCAGAUAUCAGGAAGAACACCCGUGGCGAAGGCGGCUCUCUGGGCCGGUACUGACGCUGAGACGCGAAAGCGUGGGGAGCGAACAGG